rfam:Triticum aestivum genome assembly, contig: Triticum_aestivum_CS42_TGACv1_scaffold_221086_3B
AUUAUACUCCCUCCGUCUGAAAAAACUUGUCCCAAGCUUGUUCCGCAAAUGGAUGUAUCUAGCACUAAUUUGGUGCUAGAUACAUCUAUUUGAGGGACAAGUUUUUCCGAACGGAGGGAGUAUACA